UGAGCUUUGAGGAUGAAACCUGUUUGAGGUAGGAUUAUUUAAAAAAAAAAAAAAAACCUGUUUGAGGUAUGAGGAUGAAAGCUGUUUGAGGUAUGAUUAUAAUAAAACCUGUUUGAGGUAUGAGGAUAAUAAAACCUGUUUGAGGUAUGAGGAUAAUGAAACCUGUUUGAGGUAUGAGGAUAAUAAAACCUGAUUGAGGUAUGAGGAUGAAACCUGUUCGAGGUAUGAUUAUAAUAAAACCUGUCUGAGGUAUGAUUAUAAUAAAACCUGUUUGAGGUAUGAUUAUAAUAAAACCUGUUUGAGGUAUGAGGAGGAUGAAACCUCCUUGAGCUUUGAGGAUGAAACCUGUUUGAGGUAUGAGGAUAAUAAAACCUGUUUGAGGUAUGAGGAUGAAACCUGUUCGAGGUAUGAUUAUAAUAAAACCUGUCUGAGGUAUGAUUAUAAAAAAAAAACCUAUUUGAGGUUUAAGGAUAAAACGUGUAUGCCCAUUAAUAUUUGAGCAGAAAACCUGUUUAAGG
ensembl:lncRNA